rnacentral:lncRNA from 13 species
ACGUUCAGACCGAACAUUGGGGAUCUUAAAACUCCCCCCUAAGAAUGACGCCUUCGUCCAAUGAUUUAUGUGUAAUGGACCUGAGAGUCAUCACGAUCAAAGGAUAAGGGGCCGCGAUCUUUAUCCACCUCCGCUAUUUUGAUGUUUUUUUUUCCCAAGAUCUUUUUCAGGGUUAAUCUGAUUGGUCAAAAUACCAAUUAGUUCAAACAACUAUCAGAAUUGGACUGCCUGUCUAAAAGCAUUAGUGUCUGUCUUUCUGAUUGAUGGCACUGAUGGAGUGGAAGGAGGGAGUCGUGGCACCAGGAAUCCAAGUCUAGGGUUUUCCUUUUCUUGGAGGGCUCAAAAGGCAUCAUAUGUAAUGCAAUCACAUCAUGGCUAUGACCAGGUCACCAUGGAAACGCCCACUCUGGAACCACAGAAGGCCUCCCAUAGAACAACCAGGCCCCCAGUGUCCAGUCUGGAGCAUGAGCUCUGCUGGUCAGCUACUGCGGUGCUAAAAAUCCUGGUCUGCCCUGGAAAGCCUAUGUAAAUGAAGAUCGUCAGAACGGCCCCUCCCCCAAACAAUUGGAUGGCGAUUUAUCAUCAAGUUCAAUCCCCACUGUGAACUAUUUUUAAAGUUUCCUACAAAUAGAGAUAUUUUAUUUAAUAGUGAUCCAUGGACCACGUGCUGACACAGACCAAUCACGGGCCAGCACGCUACAAGGAUGUCUGAGCACAACAAGGGCAGUGGACAGAUCUCAUCCACUGUGUGUAGAUGGGGAGACUCCCCAUUUUUAUGUAAACCACUCUGUUACUUCUGCUAACUAUUGAUAUAGUGGAGGUGUGGUUGCCCUCAAGGGCUAGUGGUCGAAUCUCUAGCCCCUUUCAUACCUGGUGCUAACAUGCAUCCUGUGUCCAGAACAUGUCUACAUUUUGAUUGUGCCCAAAUCUUAAGAGGCACUGUGAACAGAUUUUGAUCAGAUCUUAUAAGUUUAAAUGGGCAAGAUCAGAACGAAGGACACAUUAGCACCAGAUAUAAACGGGGCUAUUUUGUGUGUGGAUGUUUGAGUGAGGAGGAGCCUCCGUCUUUGUAAUUAGACAGCUCUGUUAUGUCUGUAGAUUACUGAUACAUCAUCCUGUCAGGCCCGUGGU